AACCUACUAGCUCAAUAGUAGAGCAUUGUGCAAAUACACAAAAGAUGUGGGUUCGAAUCCCAGGUAGGUUC
rnacentral:tRNA from 1 species